rnacentral:rRNA from 1 species
GAUGAACGCUGGCGGCGUGCUUAACACAUGCAAGUCGAACGGAAAGGCCCAAGCUUGCUUGGGUACUCGAGUGGCGAACGGGUGAGUAACACGCGGGUGAUCUGCCCUGCACUUCGGGAUAAGCCUGGGAAACUGGGUCUCAUAUCGGAUAGGACCUCAUUUUGGAUGGUGUGGUGGAAAGUUUUUCGGUGUGGGGUGAGCUCGCGGCCUAUCAGCUUGUUGGUGGGGUAAUGGCUUACCAAGGCGUCGACGGGUAGCCGGCCUGUGAGAGUGUACGGCGGCAUUGGGACUGAGAGACGGCACAGACUCGUACGGGAGGCAGCAGUGGGGAAGAUUGCAGGAUGGGCGCCAGCCGGAUGCAGCGACGCCGCGUGGGGGAUGACGGCCUUCGGGUUGUAGACUCCGUUUGCUAGGGACGAAGCGUGAUGUGACGGUACCUGGAGAAGAAGCACCGGCUAACUACGUG